rnacentral:tRNA from 1 species
GCGCCCGUAGCUCAACUGGAUAGAGCAACGGCCUUCUAAGCCGUAGGUUGCAGGUUCAAGUCCUGCCGGGCGCGCCA